GUCUUCAGCUCCUCAACUUGGGUCACUGUGCAGAGACUCCAUGAACACAUCGGCAACAUCUUGCUUGUCUUGUCUAAUGGGGGCAGCACAAUGGCAGCCUUGUCAAGGAAUCUGAAGAAUGCAAUCACAUAAAAGAACUGGUGAUGACGAAUUUGUCAGCUCAUACAAAAGCGAGAUAUCAUCGGGCAACUGCACGUGCCACUUCCUGACAGCCGCAACGACCACUUGACAGAUACUUUUGAAUGGGCUUGCUCCCAGUUUCCUAAACCUGUACACCCUCGAACCACCAACAAGUACUGCCAGGCCCAAGAUCAUGAGCACAGCUGGGAUCGCAAAGCUGAUUCCCCACCCUACGUUGUUUUGCAACCAAACAAGCACUGUGCCUGACAGAAGGGAGCCGAGACUGAUUAAGAAGUAGUACCAGUUGAAGAAGGAGCCCUUCUUCUGUAGCUCCAUCGGGUCCCCGCUAUCGAACUGGUCAGCCCCAAAGGCUGAAGUGCAGGGUUUGAUACCACCGCUCCCGAGAGCGACAAGGUAGAGUGCUAGGUAGACCACAACACGAUGAACACCAGCACGGUAGUAAGAUGUUGGGACUGAUGCUGAAACUGUGAGUACGAGUAUUCCCUGUCAACAUGGAAGUGUUCAGAGUUGCAGGUACCUUACAAAUCGGGUCGGUUAGCUGUGCUGUACUUACGAUGGUGGAGACUGGGAGGGAGACAACCAUUGUCCAGUAUCUUCCCAGAUAUGUAUCACCCAAGAAGGCUCCAAUAAGCGGCGUGAGGAAGCACGCGCCGACCCAGGCUGAGACAUUCUGUGCGGCGGUUACUUUGCUUUCGUGGAGCACUGUCGUGAGAUAGGUCACCAAAUUCGCCGCGAUUGCGAAGAAGGCAACACAUUCGCAGAACUCGACGCCUAGGAUGCAUUUGUUCUAGUGUUAGGAAGUAACAGAAGAAGAGGAAAAUAGGAGCUGGUUGCAUGAACUGCUAUCUGUUUAUACCUAAAAUCAUGUAGCACGCCCUCCAGUUGCCUGUGUUGCGCUUCAGAGCAGGCUGUCUGCUGAUAUCGAUUGUUCCAUCGCUGGUGUAUUCUGAACCUACAUCCUAUAGGAGAGUACCGAAAUAUCCAUUUUGGAAUUUGUAAACUGUAAACCUCUCAGAAAAAUAGGCAACAAAUUGAGUAUAUGUGCUAACUGAAAUUUAUAAACUGACGAUUCAGUUUGAUGUUA